rnacentral:lncRNA from 1 species
GACCAUUACAAGUGUGAACAUGCCCGUCAGUUGGAUCCAAAAAUGCUGUUGGUGAAAAAGAAUAGCUUUUAUAGGCUGUGACUUCUCCCCAUGUCGAUACUUGUGGCGCUUACUCCGUGUGAAGUCGAACACUUUCUUUUAGCAGUUGGUGGUGCGUCCCGUGUUGCUGAAACGGGGGAUCCAGUGGGAUGGCCGGGUUUUGUCCUCGUAGCGGUAUUUUUUAGUUGCAUUUUAAAACACCUGGGAGCCACCCGAGAGAGGCAGGACGUAUCAUAAUAUGCAAUGAUUUUGAAGCCACGAGAAAACUAGCUCACCGUAGGCGACGAGAACCACAGAAUUUGUGGGAUCGUGUUCAUUCAUUACAUCACUGCGUUUCGCCCACUCAACGGCCCAUUUCGUUUCAGUGGGCUGUGCCUCUCUACCUGUCUUUUCACCGUUAAAUUGGAACUUUCUUCAUUGCUAACAUCUGUUUCGUCACUGGCAGUGACAGAAGUAGAUGCAGUUCAAAGAACGUAUUUCCCGGUUGGUAGUAGCGGCUGGUGUGUGCGUACUUCUGACUUGUCUUCUGCUGUCUCACACCGAAGGCUUUUGCAGCUCAACGUUCGUGGGAUGCGGCAAGGGUUGACAGACGAGGAAAAUCGUUCUUUCUUACUCUUUCUGCAUUAGAAUGCCAGUGUUUAGUUCGUUUUUUGGAAUAGUGUUUGAGCCGAUGCCGUGUGCCUACCAUUGCCUACCGCAUAUGGCAUGUGCGUUCGCUUCUAGCUAGCACCUGCAGCUUUUUGUCCGGUGGGGGGCCUGAUCCGGACAGGUAUUGCACGUUCGUGACAGACUAUUGUGUACCGCUGCACACUGAUGAAUCCGCGAGCCGAACACACUUUACAACUGAGUAGAGCAAUACUUCGUGUCUCUAUAUAGAGGUGGUUUCACUAUGACUCCCGCGUUUAGGACCUGAAACGCGGCAAACCAGGCAGUUUCAUCGGUGGCACCUCGGGCGAGUUGGAGAACCAAAGGGGAGGCUAACCAAAGGGAGCCUAUGUUUUUGGCUUCACAAACCUUAUCCGAUUGACGUCGCUG